AGACAACAGGGAUUGCCUCAGUAACGGCGAGUGAAGCGGCAAUAGCUCAAAUUUGAAAUCUGGCUCUUUCAGGGUCCGAGUUGUAAUUUGCAGAGGGCGCUUUGGAGUCGGCAGCAGCCUAAGUUCCUUGGAACAGGUCAUCAUAGAGGGUGAGAAUCCCGUAUGUGGCUGCUUGCCUUCGCCGUGUAAAGCCCCUUCGAUGAGUCGAGUUGUUUGGGAAUGCAGCUCUAAAUGGGAGGUAAAUUUCUUCUAAAGCUAAAUAUUGGCCAGAGACCGAUAGCGCACAAGUAGAGUGAUCGAAAGAUGAAAAGCACUUUGGAAAGAGAGUCAAAAAGCACGUGAAAUUGUUGAAAGGGAAGCGCUUGCAGCCAGACGUGCCCGUAGUUGCUCAUCUGGGGUUCUCCCCAGUGCACUCUUCUAUGGGCAGGCCAGCAUCAGUCCGGGCGGUUGGAGAAAGACCUGUGUCACGUAGCUCUCUUCGGGGAGUGUUAUAGGGCAGGUGGAAUGCAACCAGCCUGGACUGAGGUCCGCGCAUCUGCUAGGAUGCUGGCGUAAUGGCUGUAAGCGGCCCGUCUUGAAACACGGACCAAGGAGUCUAACAUCUAUGCGAGUGUUUGGGUGUCAAGCCCGAGCGCGUAAUGAAAGUGAACGGAGGUGGGAACCCCUCGGGGUGCACCAUCGACCGAUCCUGAUGUCUUCGGAUGGAUUUGAGUAAGAGCAUAGCUGUUGGGACCCGAAAGAUGGUGAACUAUGCCUGAAUAGGGUGAAGCCAGAGGAAACUCUGGUGGAGGCUCGCAGCGGUUCUGACGUGCAAAUCGAUCGUCAAAUUUGGGCAUAGGGGCGAAAGACUAAUCGAACUAUCUAGUAGCUGGUUCCUGCGAGC
rnacentral:rRNA from 1 species